rnacentral:lncRNA from 1 species
GGGGAUAUCUUACCUAUGUCAAGAGAUAGAUGGCUGAUAAAUUGGAGGAUAGAUCUAUAAUAGCUCGUUUUAUAGGAUAUCCAAAAGAAUCAAUAGAAUACUACUUCUACUUUCUACAAGAUCACAAUAUGAUUAUGAGUCAGAAUGUCAUAUUCCUAAAAAAAUAGUUUAUUCAGGAUGGUGGCAGUGAGAGUUUAGUUGAGCUUGAAGAGAAGAUCUCUAAAGAGCAAAGAGCUAUAGAUCCUCAAGAAUCCAUUAUUCAUAAGCCAAUAAUUGACGUUCCUCUACCACCUCAUAAAUCUAGC